rnacentral:rRNA from 1 species
CACGUAGGGUGCGAGCGUUGUCCGGAUUUAUUGGGCGUAAAGAGCGUGUAGGCGGCUUGGUAGGUCCGCUGUGAAAACUCGAGGCUCAACCUCGAGAUGUCGGCGGAAACCACUUGGCUAGAGUCCGGAAGAGGAGAGUGGAAUUCCUGGUGUAGCGGUGAAAUGCGCAGAUAUCAGGAAGAACACCUAUGGCGAAGGCAGCUCUCUGGGACGGUACUGACGCUGAGACGCGAAAGCGUGGGGAGCGAACAGG